GAUGAACGCUAGCUACAGGCUUAACACAUGCAAGUCGAGGGGAAACGACAUCGAAAGCUUGCUUUUGAUGGGCGUCGACCGGCGCACGGGUGAGUAACGCGUAUCCAACCUGCCCACCACUUGGGGAUAACCUUGCGAAAGUAAGACUAAUACCCAAUGAUAUCCCACGAAGACAUCUGAAUGGGAUUAAAGAUUUAUCGGUGAUGGAUGGGGAUGCGUCUGAUUAGCUUGUUGGCGGGGUAACGGCCCACCAAGGCAACGAUCAGUAGGGGUUCUGAGAGGAAGGUCCCCCACAUUGGAACUGAGACACGGUCCAAACUCCUACGGGAGGCAGCAGUGAGGAAUAUUGGUAAAUGGGCGAGAGCCUGAACCAGCCAAGUAGCGGGCAGGAAGACGGCCCUAUGGGUUGUAAACUGCUUUUAUAAGGGAAUAAAGUGGGUCACGUGUGACUUUUUGCAUGUACCUUAUGAAUAAGGACCGGCUAAGUCCGUG
rnacentral:rRNA from 1 species